ACAGAUAUUUUUAAUAAUGACCUCGGUGGACCCUAUGCAUUUCUUGAGCCACCUUUUGUUCAAAGACCCCUUCUAUAUAAGAUACAGGCAAGGAGAAAAAAGAGCCAAGAGUGGUGAGCACCAGCGGUGCACUUUACCAAUUUAGGAUUAGGACUAUAGUUUCUUUGUUAGUUAGUUUUUUAGCUGUCGCCGUUGUAAGAUCAUUUGAGGCUUGGCUUAUUGGAGUUUCUCUUCCAGUUUCCUUUACUAUUCUUUAGGAACUAUGUACAUAGAAUAAGUAAUAUAAAUUGUUGGUGUCUUCUUCUCAUGAUUCUGUUUUUACUUGGCUACAACUCCAAAAGUUGUAGGAUUAAUAUAUCAUUUUGGUGUCAAAUAA